rnacentral:misc_RNA from 1 species
GAUGAAGAACGUAGCGAAAUGCGAUAAGUAAUGUGAAUUGCAGAAUUCAGUGAAUCAUCGAAUCUUUGAACGCACAUUGCGCCCGCCAGUAUUCUGGCGGGCAUGCCUGUUCGAGCGUCAUUACAACCCUCAAGCCCCCGGGCCUGGCGUUGGGGAUCGGCGGAGCCCCCCGUGGGCACACGCCGUCCCCCAAAUACAGUGGCGGUCCCGCCGCAGCUUCCAUCGCGUAGUAGCUAACACCUCGCGACUGGAGAGCGGCGCGGCCACGCCGUAAAACACCCAACUCUUCUGAAGUUGACCUCGAAUCAGGUAGGAAUACCCGCUGAACUUAAGCAUAUCAAUAAGCGGAGGA